AUUGAACGCUGGCGGCAGGCUUAACACAUGCAAGUCGAGCGGGGUGAUGGUGCUUGCACUAUCACUUGGCGGCCGACGGGUGAGUAAUGCUUAGGAAUCUGCCUAUUAGUGGGGGACAACAUCUCGAAAGGGAUGCUAAUACCGCAUACGUCCUACGGGAGAAAGCAGGGGAUCACUUGUGACCUUGCGCUAAUAGAUGAGCCUAAGUCGGAUUAGCUAGUUGGUGGGGUAAAGGCCUACCAAGGCGACGAUCUGUAGCGGGUCUGAGAGGAGGAACCGCCACACUGGGACUGGGACACGGCCCAGACUCCUACGGGAGGCAGCAGUGGGGAAUAUUGGACAAUGGGGGGAACCCUGAUCCAGCCAUGCCGCGUGUGUGAAGAAGGCCUUAUGGUUGUAAAGCACUUUAAGCGAGGAGGAGGCUCUUUUGGUUAAUACCCAAGAUGAGUGGACGUUACUCGCAGAAUAAGCACCGGCUAACUCUGUGCCAGCCGCCGCCGUAA
rnacentral:rRNA from 1 species